CGGGGCAUCCGCGUCCCUUGGCAGUGCGGAGCUGGGCAGGUCGGUCCUGACUAGACUAGGAGGUGAGGAGGCGUCGCGCUCUGCCAGGCUGACACGCACCGCGAUCCCUGUGUCCCUGGACAUCUUCAGGAAGGAAUUCGAGUUUUCAGCCUCGGGGUUGGCAGCUCGAGGACUCCUUCAUUUUAAAUAUUCAAGUGAAGUAUCUGAGUGCAGCAACACUCUUAAGCAGUGGGAAAGACAAAGAAUCUGAGAAGAAAGAUGAGAUGGAUGACGACGCCAUGUUCACCACACUAGGCGAGGAGGACAAAUCAAAGCCUUUCGUGGCUCCUCGCUGGGCCACUCGGGUGUUUGCCGCAGACUGCCUGUGCCGAAUCAUCAACCUGUGUGAGAACGCAGACCAGGCUCACUUUGAUCUUGCCUUGGCAUGGUCUGCUAAACUACGAAACCCAAAAAAUGACCUCUUAGUAUUGCAUCUCUCUGACCUGAUUCGAAUGGCAUUCAUGGCUGCAACUGAUCAUAGCAACCAACUGUGAAUGGCCGGGCUCCAGGCACUGGAAGACAUUAUCAAGAAAUUUGCAUCUGUGCCUGAGCCAGAAUUUCCAGGUCAUGUGAUCCUGGAGCAGUAUCAAGCUAAUACAUGAUCCUGGCCUUCAUGGC